rnacentral:rRNA from 1 species
CCUAGUUGAUCCUUCCAUUAUCAUAUUCUUGUCUCAAAGAUUAAGCAAAGUAUGUGUAAGUACGAACAAAUUCAGACUGUGAAACUGGGAAUGCCUCAUUAAAUUAGUUAUAGUUUGUUUGAUAGUAUCUACUACUCGGAUAACCGUAGUAAUUCUAGUGCUAAUACGUGCAGCAAACCCCAGCUUCUAGAAGGGAUGUUUUUAUUAGAUAAAAGGUCUACGUGGGCUCUGCCCAUUGCUGUGAUGAUUCAUGAUAACUCAAUGGUUUGCAUGCCCAUCGUACCAGCGAUACAUAAUUAAAAUUUCUGCCCUAUCAACUUUUGAUGGUAGGAUAGUGGCCUACCAUGGUGGUGAUGAGUGAUAGAAAAUUAGGGUUCAAUUUUGGAGAGGGAGCUUAAGAAAUGGCUACCACAUCUAUGAAAGGCAACAACCACGUAAAUUACCAAAUCCUGACAAAAGGAGGUACUGACAAUAAAUAAUAAUACCAGGCUCCAUGAGUCUGGUAAUUGGAAUAAGUACAAUCUAAAUCCAUUAAAGAGGAUCCAUUCGAGGGGUAGAAUGGUGCCAAAAGCCGCAGUAAUUGUAGCUCCAAUAGAGUAUAUUUAAGUUGCAGUUAAAAAGCUCGUAGUUGUACUUUGGGAUGGGCAGGCUGAUAUACCAAUGGUAUGGACCGGUCAUCUCAGCCCUCAUGUUGGUGAUGCACACUUGACCUUAACUGGAUGGGUCGUUCCUUCGGUGAUGUUAUUUGAAGAAAUCUAGAGUGCUAAAAGCAAGGCUAUGCUCUGUAUACAUUAGCAUGGGAUAAUAUUAUAAGAUUUUGGUCUUAUUAUGUUGGCCUUCAAGAUCGAAGUAAUUAUUAAUAGGGACAGUCGGGGGCAUUCAUAUUUCAUAGUCAGAGGUUAAAUUCAUUGAUUUAUGAAAGAUGAACAACUAUGAAAUCAUUUUCCAAGGAUCUUUUCAUUAAUCAAUAAUGAAAGUUGAAGUCUCAAAGAUGAUCAGAUAUCGUCCUAGUAUCAACCAUAAGCGAUGCCAACUAGGGGUCAACGGAUGUUUCUUUUAGGACUCCACCGGUACCUUAUUAGAAAUCAAAGUUUUGGGAUUCUGGGAGGAGUAUGGUCGAAAGAUUGAAACUUAAAGGAAUUGAUAGAAGAGCACCACCAGGAGUGGAGCCUACGGCUUAAUUUAACUCAACACUGGGAAACUUACUAGGUCCAGCCAUAGUAAAGAUUGACAAACUACGAUCUUUUUCUGGAUUAUAUGGGUCGUAGAGCAUGGGCAUUCUUAGUUGGUGGAAUGAUUUAUCCAGUUCAUUUCAUUAAUGAAUGAGACCUCAACCUACUAUCUAAAUAUGCAGAGGUAUCCCUUUGUGACCGACUUCAUAGAGGGACUACGACCGUUUAGGUUGUGGAAAUUUGAGGCAAUAACUAGUCUUUGAAGCACUUAGAUAUUCUGGACCACAUGCACUCUACACUAAUGUAUUCAACGAGCUUAUAGCCUUGGCCGACAAGUCAGGGUAUCUUUUAAAUUUCAUCCUAAUGGGAAUUGAUCAUUACAAUUAUUGGUCUUUGAUACACCCAAAUUACAACUUUCUUAUGAAAGUGUA